rnacentral:tRNA from 1 species
GCCUUCGUAGUGUAGUGGUUAGCGCGCUAGACGCGUAUUCUAGAGCUCCGUGGUUCGAGUCCGGACGAGGACA